rnacentral:rRNA from 1 species
AAUGAACGCUGGCGGCAGGCCUAACACAUGCAAGUCGAGCGAGCGGCGGACGGGUGAGUAAAGUCUGGGAAACUGCCUGAUGGAGGGGGAUAACUACUGGAAACGGUAGCUAAUACCGCAUAGCAUCAGAUGUGCACAGGUGGGAUGAGCUAGUAGGUGGGGUAACGGCUCACCUAGGCGACGAUCCAUAGCUGGUCUGCGAGGAUGACCAGCCACCCGGGAACUGAGACACGGUCAAGACUCCUACGGGAGGCAGAAGUGGGGAAUAUUGCACAAUGGGCGCACUCCUGCUACAGCCAUGCCGCGGGUGUGAAGAAGUCCUUCGGGUUUUAAAGCACUUUCAGCGGGGAGGCGUUACCCGCAGAAGAAGCACCGGCUAACUCCGUGCCAGCCGCCGCGGUAAUAC